UAGGUGACCCGAUCUGACCUGCACCCCAAUCACUGGGUGCUUAAAUAUUUACUGGUGAUGAUGUCAGUGACCUUGAGCAGCCUGGGCGAGAGGAUCCUGGAUGUGAAAGAGGACAGGCAGACUUGGGUUCUCAUGAAAAGCAGUUCCUCUGGCUGAGUCUCUGCCUCAGCUUAACCAUCUGUGGACGGGGCUGGAGGCCUGGCCAUAAAAGUGCUGACCUAACAGUUUCUGAGGAGGAGUGGAUACUGCCCAACCUGUGCAAAGGGCACAGCCACUCCUAAAAGCCUGUGAUGGGAGCAAGAUGUUCUGGCUUUCAUGGUGGAGAGAGCUUCCAGCUGCUGACCAGUAGAACCUUCAGAAGAGAGAUGGCUGUGCGAGGAGGCUGUGCAUCUUCUGAAAGGGCCAUGCCCAAGCAAGGCUAUCCUGUGGCAGCUGUAUAUUCCUGCAGAAGGUGCACAGGAUCAGCCUUUGGGUCCGGUCCAUCCAGAGGUGGCCAGGCCCAAUCACAGGUCGAUGAAAGCCUUAUUCUACAUCUCAUCUUUUCCUCCUUGCAUAGCUACCUUCGGAAGCAAGGUGCAGAGAUGAUGAAGCCAAUCACACCAGGAUGAGCAAGUGACUCAUAUCGAAGUCGGUGAGACUGCAUGGCUUGGUUUGACCAACUAGGGCGUGUGACAUGUACUGCUCUACAGCAGAGAGAAUGAUGCCUCUCCAGUUGUUUUAAAAACCACAUUGAGGCUGGGCGCGGUGGUGCACCCCUGGAAUCCCAGCACUCGGGGAAGCAGAGGCAGGCAGAUCUCUGUGAGU